rnacentral:lncRNA from 1 species
UCUAUAUAAACUACAACUAAGAAGCAACAUAGAAUCUAGGCAUGUAAUAUAAUGAAUCUUUAAAUAGAAACCUACCAAUCACUAUAUGUGAAUAUUUUUUAUUUUUAUCUAAUAUUUUAUAAUUUAACUUUUUAAUUUACUUUAAUAUAAAUCUUGUCUUAUUGAUUGAUCUAGUGGUCGGACCAAUAACCUAGUGACCGAACCUUAGGUUGGUUUGGUCCCAAGUCCAAGUUUAAUAACUAAGGCAUCUUGCAAAAACAAUCAUUUUAUUUUUACUUUUUGUAGCAUUGGUCCAGGAUUUUCAGUAUUUGCAAGAAUGAUCAUUAAUUUUUCUAGAUCCAAAUGUCCCUCACU